CAUGCCGUAAACGUUGAUUGCUAGGUGUUAGAGGAUUUCCGUCCUUUAGUGCCGCAGCUAACGCAUUAAGCAAUCCGCCUGGGGAGUACGACCGCAAGGUUGAAACUCAAAGGAAUUGACGGGGACCCGCACAAGUGGUGGAGCAUGUGGUUUAAUUCGAUGCUACGCGAAGAACCUUACCAGGCCUUGACAUUCUUCUGCUAUCCUAAGAGAUUAGGAGUUCCCUUCGGGGACGGAUCAACAGGUGG
rnacentral:rRNA from 1 species